rnacentral:rRNA from 1 species
AGUGAACGCUGGCGGUAGGCCUAACACAUGCAAGUCGAACGGCAGCACAGUAAGAGCUUGCUCUUACGGGUGGCGAGUGGCGGACGGGUGAGGAAUACAUCGGAAUCUACUUUUUCGUGGGGGAUAACGUAGGGAAACUUACGCUAAUACCGCAUACGACCUACGGGUGAAAGCAGGGGAUCUUCGGACCUUGCGCGAUUGAAUGAGCCGAUGUCGGAUUAGCUAGUUGGCGGGGUAAAGGCCCACCAAGGCGACGAUCCGUAGCUGGUCUGAGAGGAUGAUCAGCCACACUGGAACUGAGACACGGUCCAGACUCCUACGGGAGGCAGCAGAGGGGAAUAUUGGACAAUGGGCGCAAGCCUGAUCCAGCCAUACCGCGUGGGUGAAGAAGGCCUUCGGGUUGUAAAGCCCUUUUGUUGGGAAAGAAAAGCAGCAGGUUAAUACGCCGCUGUUCUGACGGUACCCAAAGAAUAAGCACCGGCUAACUUCGUG